UCUUCAUAGACUGCUCACACUAUGCAGUAGUCAGUCCCAGUCAGCAAACAGCAUGGACAUGAGGACCCCUGCUCAGCUCCUGGGGCUCCUGCUGCUGUGCUUCCCAGGUGCCAGAUGUGACAUCCAGAUGACCCAGACUCCAUCCUCCCUGUCUGCAUCUCCAGGAGACACAGUCACCAUCAAUUGCAGGGCCAGUCAGGGCAUUAGCAGUUGGUUAGCCUGGUUUCAGCAGAAACCAGGGAAAGCUCCCAAACUGCUGAUAUCCAAAGCAUCUAAUUUAGAAUCAGGUGUCCCAUCCAGGUUCAGUGGCAGUGGAUCUGGAACAGAGUUCACUCUCACCAUCAGCAACCUGCAGCCUGAAGAUUUUGCUACUUAUUACUGUAUGCAGGAUAACAGCUCUCCUCCCACAGUAAUACAAGUCAUAACUAAAACCUACAGGGGAAGCAGAAAUCCUGACCUAACUGUGGUUCAACCCCCUUUCUCUGGCUGUGUGGACUUCCAAGGUGACCAGAGGCAGCCUGCAGCUCAAAAUAAACCUUUCCCCUGCCUGAAUUCCAUGGGUUGCAAUCUUUCCUCAGCUGCUGACUUAAUUUACCUAAAAGUUUCUAGCUCCCGGCCAUUCUUCAUUGUUAUUAUUGAGUUGCACCAUGGUAGCUUUAAAGCAAAGAAGGAAAAUUGUCAACGUCUAGUGUGUUGA